CUGCAAGUCGAACGCAUCUUGGGGGGCAACUCCCGAGAUGAGUGGCGAACGGGUGAGUAACACGUGAGUAAUCUUCCCUCGAGUGAGGAAUAAGCCUGCGAAAGCGGGUCUAAUACCGCAUAAUACUUUGGGGCAUAAGCUUUCAGAGUCAAAGCCGGAAGGCGCUCGAGGAUGAGCCUGCGGCCUAUUAGCUAGUUGGUAGGGUAAUGGCCUACCAAGGUUAUGAUGGGUAGCCGGCCUGAGAGGGUGUUCGGCCACACUGGGACUGAGACACGGCCCAGACUCCUACGGGAGGCAGCAGUGAGGAAUUUUGCGCAAUGGGCGAAAGCUUGACGCAGCAACGCCGCGUGGAUGAUGAAGCUCUAAGGAGUGUAAAGUCCUGUUAGAAGGGAAGAACAACUUUCAGUCGAAUAGAAUGAAGGUUUGACGG
rnacentral:rRNA from 1 species